GCCCACGUGGUGGAAUUGGUAGACACGCUAUCUUGAGGGGGUAGUGGCGAAAGCUGUGUCGGUUCGAGUCCGACCGUGGGCACCA
rnacentral:tRNA from 1 species